GCCCUUGUAAGCUAACGGAUAAACUGCCUCGGUUCUAACGAGGACUUGGAAGUUCGAUUCUUCCCGAGGGCA
rnacentral:tRNA from 1 species